UCCCUUCCUUGUGUCUCUGAUCUAGAGUGAUUGCGGCCUUGUUUCUGCCCUAUGCGACGCCGCCUCUGUACACUAUGCCUAGGUCGCCGGAAAUCAAGAGCUUAAGAAGGUGACAGGGGGUAGUUGUAACCCGGCCAGUGGAACUGAAGCACUUGGGUGUGGGAUGGCUAAUUUAGUGUAUAGGGUUUGGUGGACAGCGGCUUCACCAACUUCUGAUUCUCGCUGUCAUCAUCGAAGAAGAGCAACUUGAUCAGGGCAGUAGGUUGUUACGUCUGGCCAGUAGGUUUGAUUUGGGGCUGUUGGAACUUGUCGUGGCAAUCUUGCUUUGGUUGAGGGCAUCAAGGAAGAGCCACUCACCUUGUUCCAGCAGAAAACACAUUCCUUGAUUAUGGAUU